UAGCACUCCUCAGGGAAAUAGAAAGCUUGAUGCUGCUUAUGCUGAAGCAAAAGAGAUGAAUGCUAAUUGUCCGGUUUUUCUCUUUUUUUCGGUCAAUGCUAGUGGACAAUUUUGUGGGGUUGCUGAGAUGGUUGGACCUAUUGAUUUUGAGAACAGCGCGGAGUACUGGCAGCAGGACCGAUGGAGUGGGAAAUUUCCUGUUAAAUGGCAUGUCAUUAAGGAUGUUCCUAACAGUCAG
rnacentral:misc_RNA from 1 species